rnacentral:rRNA from 1 species
AGUAAAAGUCGUAACAAGGUUUCCGUAGGUGAACCUGCGGAAGGAUCAUCAUAGUAGACUUUUGGUCUUUGAUUUGACUUGUCUUAGGACUUGUCUAUUUGGUUGGCUUGUCGGUUUUGUGCACGAUUUGGAAGGAUUUCGUACGUUGAUCAUUCAGAUUAGGGUUAGGGCUAGCCUUGGGGCUUUCCUCCUAUCGUCUAAGCCUCACUAGCUUUUACGGAAUGAUCAGGUUCUUUGCUGUGGUUAGGGUUAGUGACCUGGAUAAGGGCGAUUGUUGUUGAGGUUAUUACUUAUGUAAUGUGUACACUCCUCAGCUUCAGUCAAACUUGUCUAAUACCCGCGGUUGUUCUAAACAACUGUUUAAAGGACUAGUGAUGGGUAGGGGAGUAUCCCCGGGACUCAAAAGGUCUCUAUUACCCUUGUGGCUACUAGAUAGUCUUCGCCAGACUAUUGAAGGACUUGCAGAGCGAUACGUUCAGUGGCUCUGUCUGCAUCUCUUGCAGGCCCGCGUAGACACAAGUAAAGUACCCAUUAGAAAGACUUCACUUUACUCUGAUUGAACCUAGACUGUUGUUGUAACUAUACAACUUCUGGCAACGGAUCUCUCGGCUCUUGCAUCGAUGAAGAACGCAGCGAAUUGCGAUAACUGUUGUGAAUUGCAGAUCUCCAGUGAAUCAUCGAGUCUUUGAACGCACCUUGCACCCUUUGGUAUUCCGAAGGGUACACCUGUUUGAGGGUCAUUUUAGUCAUCAAUGAGAGUUUUACUAUCAUUGGAUUUGGGCAAUGCUGGCUUGCUAGCUUGUCUCAAAUAGUUGAUUAGGUCUAUGCGUAUGUAAUCUACUACGUAUUCUAAUUCCCUAAUCUCAGUCUUGACUUUU